rfam:Capsicum annuum cultivar Zunla-1 chromosome 5, whole genome shotgun sequence
UUGCUGAUGAUGUGGACAAUCCCUAAAAAGUGCCUUGAACGCUCCCAUGAAUGAUAUAAAUUCUCAUCUGUCUUUUGUUUAAAGAACACAAUCUCACAGCGAAGUCU